AGGAAUAUUGCGCAAUGGGGGCAACCCUGACGCAGCGACGCCGCGUGAGUGAGGAAGGUUUUCGGAUCGUAAAGCUCUGUCAGAAGGGAAGAAAUGUUAUAUGGUUAAUACCCAU
rnacentral:rRNA from 1 species